rnacentral:rRNA from 1 species
UACGUAGGGGGCAAGCGUUGUCCGGAUUUAUUGGGCGUAAAGAGCGUGUAGGCGGCCAGGUAGGUCAGCUGUGAAAACUCGAGGCUCAACCUCGAGACGUCGGUUGAAACCACCUGGCUAGAGUCCGGAAGAGGAGAGUGGAAUUCCUGGUGUAGCGGUGAAAUGCGCAGAUAUCAGGAAGAACACCCGUGGCGAAGGCGGCUCUCUGGGACGGUACUGACGCUGAGGCGCGACAGCGUGGGGAGCAAACAGG